rnacentral:rRNA from 1 species
AUGAGCGGGAACGUACGAGGGCUCAACUCGCCGGCCCGGCUAGCCGUUGUGAGCGAGAUGGCGGAGGCGCACAAGCUAGCUCUUCUCUGCCUUCAAGAGACAAAGAUUGACGAAUGGAAUAGAUCUCUAGUUAGAGAGGUGGGCGGGACCAGGCUAGCAGACUGCAUCGUCCUCCCGGCGACAGGCACUAGGGGAGGCGCGGCAAUCUUUUGGGACAAGAGCCACGUAGAUGUGCAAUCCCACGCCAUCGGUCGUUUCUCCAUCAUGGCCAAAAUCACUCUCGCAGCAACAACAGCAUCCUUCUGGAUGUCGACGGUGUACGGACCCGUCGAUGACGGGAGGAAAGACGAGUUCCUGGCCGAGCUGGCACGUACACCGCCGGCACCGAGCGACCCCUGGCUCAUCAACGACGACUUCAACCUGAUCUAUGAGGCGCAAGAUAAGAACAACAGCAACAUAAACCGUGGGAUCAUGGGCAAAUUCCGGGCUGCAAUCCACGCGGCAGGGUUGAAGGAGAUCAUGUGC